GAUGAACGCUGGCGGCGUGCCUAAUACAUGCAAGUCGAGCGAACAGACGAGGAGCUUGCUCCUCUGACGUUAGCGGCGGACGGGUGAGUAACACGUGGAUAACCUACCUAUAAGACUGGGAUAACUUCGGGAAACCGGAGCUAAUACCGGAUAAUAUAUUGUACCGCAUGGUUCAAUAGUGAAAGACGGUUUUGCUGUCACUUAUAGAUGGAUCCGCGCCGCAUUAGCUAGUUGGUAAGGUAACGGCUUACCAAGGCGACGAUGCGUAGCCGACCUGAGAGGGGGAUCGGCCACACUGGAACUGAGACACGGUCCAGACUCCUACGGGAGGCAGCAGUAGGGAAUCUUCCGCAAUGGGCGAAAGCCUGACGGAGCAACGCCGCGUGAGUGAUGAAGGUCUUCGGAUCGUAAAACUCUGUUAUUAGGGAAGAACAAAUGUGUAAGUAACUAUGCACGUCUUGACGGUACCUAAUCAGAAAGCCACGGCUAACUACGU
rnacentral:rRNA from 1 species